rnacentral:lncRNA from 1 species
GGCCAUCGCCGUGGCGGCCAUCUGCCGUCUCCCCCGGGGCUAUAAGGCGGCCCCGACGCCUCUCCCUCGCGCCCCCGAACCCUAGCUACCCAAAGUCACUCCCCCCCUCUUUUUCUCGAUCUGGAUCGGGGAAUCCCCCUCGCGCCCGACGCCGUGGCCCGUCGCCCUCGCCGUGGUCGCCUCGUCCUUCUUCUCCGUCGUCGUCCACUGCUUCGUCUGCGUCACUGGAUCGAAGCCCAGGAGCGUCAAUGCCGUCGCCCAUGCCGUCUUCUUCCCCGGAUCCCCGCCGUCGGUCGCCGUCGAUUCAUUCGCCUCCAGCAACCCCGGCCUCCCCGAGAUGCUCUCCCUCUCCGCUGUGAGCUCCCCACUACUUCCCCUCUUCCUCCUACCCUGCUACCGUGCCGUAGCUAGCUAGGCCGAGGACGCGCACCGCCAUGUCGCUGUUGCUGUUGCUCGGCGUCGAUGCCGUGGUUCAAGACAUUCUCCCCCGCUCCAACCCAUCAACAGGGCGAUGUGCCGCACUGUGCUCGACUAGUGGAAGUCCUCCGCCACUGAUUUGGUCGCUGGGACGGCGAUCUCAACCGGCGCUGCCGCGCUUUGUCGGCGACGUCCGCGAGCCCUGACUCCCUCCCCACACCCCCACGCCGUGCGUGUACGCCCGCAGCCGCCAGCCGCCUGUUGUCGUGGCUGCUGCCGCUUCCGGUCGUCUCCGGCCGUCGCUGGCCGCUGCCUCGCCGCUGCAGUCCACCCCCACCUGGCUGCGCUGCCGCCUAGCGUGGCCCUGCCUCGCCUCGCGCUCGACCGCGCCACGCCGCUGCCCGCUGCUGCUUUGCUGAAUCUACUGCUGCUGCUGAAUGCUACUGUAGUAGUAGCUACCUUUGCUACUACUACACUGACUACCCCUCUGUACUGCAGCAAAACAACAGCGAAACGAACUUUAAUGUGGAUAAAAAUUAUGUGGACAGAUUGUACACUUGACAAACUUCAUAUUACUCCACUGGACCAAAUUCAUUUGAUGCAUGGUUUAAAUCCUAUGAAAAUGGCAAAAUGCUAUCUUCUAUUAAAAGAAAGCAGAAUUAACCCCUAGCAAUGUGUGUUGCGUGCUGUGCGCCACUCUGUGCUGUGUGUGUGCGCAGCGUGUGAGUUGAGUGUGUGGCCGCCCCUGUUAGUGCUAGUUUAGGUUAGUAGUAGUUAAUUAAUAGCCUAUGUACAGAUGGCAUGUGGCCCCACUAGUUUUACUUAGUUUAAGCUAAUUAAAUUGCACCUAUUACACUUACAUGUGGGCCACACCCUCCUCGUUUGACCAGUCAAAUUGACUUGGUGAACUCGAAUUAUUAUUAGUUCCACAGAAAUUAUAGAAAAUCUUCUAAACUUUAGAAAAUCAUAGCAAUUAAACCGUAGCUCGGAUGAAAAAGUUUUAUAUAUGAAAGUUGCUCAGAACGACGAGACGAACCCGAAUACGCGGUCCGUUCAUCUACACAUGCCCCUAGCAUGCUGAACAUGCAACUUUUCCCCUCCGGUUCAUCUGUCUCUGACAGACGUCCGGAACCGGGAAAACUUUCCCGGAUAUUUUCCCCUUCGCCAGUAUCGCCUAACGCUACGUUAGAUCACCUCUGCCCUGCUUAUUGUCUUGUUAUGCACUUGCAUGCUAUGUAUUUACUGUUUCUUCCCCCUCUUCUCUCCGGUAGACCCCGAGACCGAUGCCGAUGUCCCUGUGAUCGACUACGUCGGCGAUGACCCUCCUUGUCUAAGCAACCAGGCAAGCCCCCCCCUUUGAUCAUCCCGAUAUCGCCCAUUCUAUACUCUCAUGCUUGCAUUAGAUUUUUCUACUGUUAUUGUUUGCUCCUAUUCUGAUGCAUAGCCUGCUUUUGUACCUGUUAUUGUUACCUAUCUGCUUAUCCUAAACUGCUUAGUAUAGGUUGUCUAGUGAUCCGUCAGUGACCCCCACCUUGUCCUUGUUGCCCCUGCUUCAUCAUCGACGCCUCGAUCGACGUGAUCGACGACCAGAGCCCGACACCUCACAUCACAUCACGCCCCUUUUGUUGCUCGACUCUGCAGAGCUACUAUCGAGUGCCGAGGGUGAUCCCUCAUAACGCACUCCUGGUAAUAAUUCUGUAGUGUAGCUAUUCGGUCGUGGUCAUCGAGGGUGAUUUCCUCUUUCACCAUUCCCGAUAUGGCUCUGUCGUUCAACACCUCAAGUGUGAACCUCGAGGGUGGUCCUUCUUACGUUCACCUUGAUGGUUACAUUGAGUGGAAUCCUCCUUGGGUGAUUCCCCGGGUUUUCCCCUUGAUGUCUGGACACACGGUUACAAUGACUUUACUUGAGACAUUGGUGGAAGUCGGGCGGGCCCGGAGAGCACCCGCAAGAUGGUUACAUGGCACGGCCGGGCAUUCUAGGCCCUUGUCGUAAGUCCACGAGACGGGGCGACGGGGUCACUUUCGAUCGUGAGUCUCUGAUCGUCUCCGCAAGCUAAUAAUACACUAUGGUUUGGGUAUUUGUUCUGAGUUGGCCUCUGGCCUUUACGCACCAACCACCACGUGAGAAUAGUUAUGGGCCUCGACGUCGCAUUAUCAGCCGAAGCUUUGUCAGACGUCCAGUUCAGCAGUGCGGCACGGCUGGGCCGGCACCAUCCUGUAGUGGUGGAGCCUGGUCCGCCCGGCUCGCAACGACCCGGAGUGCAACGGGCGAUGGGCCCAGACCCCAGAGUGCUUAGGAGGUAGACCGGCGGGGACCUCUCUGCUGAGCCUAGGUAGGGCUGCGACGUGUUGAUCUUCCGAGGCCGAGCAUUGACCCAAGAAAGGUGUGUCCGACCAGAGUGAUCGAGCGUGUUGGAAAACGUGGUGCACCCCUGCAGGGAAGAUUAUCUAUUAAUAGCCAUGUCCACGGUAAUGAACGUUCAGACUUAUAUCCUGAUCUUAUACAACUACAAAUGGAUACUUGAGCUAUGUGGCUCCAGGAUUGCUUUCUCGCAGGGAGUCGAGGAAGGAUCUCUGGGCCUUAAUGUUACAACAUGCUUGUUAAAUUUAAACUACUAUUCUUUACUCUUCUACAUGCUGCAAGAUGCUCGAAGCUGCGUGAAGAUGCUAGUCUUUGAUAGGCUAGGCUUUCCCCCUCUAUUCCGGCAUUCUGCAGUUCAGUCCACAGAUACAACCCUUCCAUUUGAUACAAAUGCAUACUUAGUAUAGAUCUGAUGCUUGCGAGUACUUUGGAUGAGUACUCACGGUUGCUUUGCUACCCCUUUUCCCUCCUUCGUUCUUCUUUCCGGUUGAUGCAACCAGAUGAUGGACCCUUGGAGCCAGAUGCCACCGCCGAUGGAUGCUACUACGUGGAGGCCGCCGACGACCAUGAGUAGUUAGGAGGUCCCAGGCAGGAGGCCUUGCCUCUUCGAUCGUUGAUGUUUGUGCUAGCCUUCUUAAGGCAAAAACUUGUUUAACUUAUGUCCGUACUCAGAUAUUGUUGCUUCCGCUGACUCUUGUGUAUCGAGCUUGUAUUCGAGCCCUCGAGGCCCCUGGCUUGUAAUAUAAAGCUUGUAUUUUUUUAAUUUGUGUCUAGAGUUGUGUUGUGAUAUCUUCCCGUGAGUCCCUGAUCUUGAUCGUACACAUUUGCGUGUAUGAUUAGUGUACGAUCGAAUUGGGGGCGUCACAGGCCCACUCGAUGAUGCAUCAUCAUAAUGAGCUCAAUGUGAAUAAGUAGUUA